GCUCACGUUGUUUAACUUUCUGCGGGAUGACUGUCACGAAUGUAACGUGAUUUCACGAGACAUAGAGUUGUAGGACCUUGACUUUACCAACUUCUCCAGAACCAUGGGUAUCACUUAUGUGAAACCAACAGAUGGGUUCAAUGCUGCUGAAAGAGAAGUCAACAAGGCAUGUAAAAGUACCUUUGACAGAAUGUUUUGUAUGAAAACUGCGACAGGAAAAGGAAAUAUUGUUAAUGCAUACUUCUGGCUCGGAGUCGUUGCAUAUUUUGUCCUUAAAAGGAGGAACAAGCAAAAGAAAGAAUUAAAAGAGAAAGAAGAAAUGGAAAAGCAGAAGAUAGAAGUUGCUUAUGAUAUUGUACGGCAGUAUGAACAGGCUAUAGCAAAUAAUCAGAAGAUUUAAUAAAAGUCGAAAUUAGGAACUUUGAAAUUUACUUAUAGAACUCUAUACCAUACUGAGUGGAUAUUUGAUGUUUGUUUACCUAUUGAGGAAAUUCACAAAGAGAGACACCUUGCACUUAAAUAAGGAUACGGAUUUGAUUGAACUGUUGAAAUACACUCGCGUCACAGAGUUAACUUUAGAAAGUGGAGCAUAACAGCAUAUGUGAAAAGAGUUCUUUAGGUACAAAAAAGCGUAAAUUCAAUAUUGAGAAUAUAACAAUGUCAUAUUUCUUGGUUUUCUAGUUGAAUCAGUAAUUGAAUAAACCUUGAUCGUUA